UCUGUUUAGUUUUAGCAGCGGCAAGCCUGCGCUGUGAGGACCUGCAAGGAGGAGAGGAGGACGGCAGCACAAAGGAAGAACCUGGAUAUAAGAAAGUAUUUUUCACAGAAACCUGUUAGGAGGGACCUGAGGAGGAUCAGAGCCAGGAAGGCAGCGGGUCCAGAUGGCAUCAGCUCUAGGGUUUUCAGGUCCUGCGCAGAUCAACUGUGUGGGGUGAUGGAGCACAUCUUCAACCUGAGCCUGAGGCAGGGGAGAGUUCCACAGCUCUGAAAAACCUCCUGUGUUGUACCAGUGCCAAAGACCUCAACAGCUGCAGGCCGGAGGCUCUGCCAUCCCACCUGAUGAAGACCCUGGAGCGGCUGGUCUUGGCUCAGCUUCGGCCCCUGUCCUGAAGGACAAGCUGGAGAACUCAGGAGUGGACCAUCACUUCACAGCAUGGAUACCGGACCACCUCACCGACCGACCACAGUAUUUGAGAACUCAGGGCUGUGUGUCGGACAGGGUUGUCUGUAGUACGGUUCUGACUCCGUUCCUCUUCACCAUCUACACUGCAGAGUCUUCAUGGAAGGUACUGUACUCAGCUUCAGCUCCUCUCUCUUUAUGGCUGCUCUCUGUUUAUACCAACUUUAUUGUCUGAUUGUCUUUGUGACUCUGGUUUUGACUUUAAAUCAGUGCAGAAGAAACUUGUUAUUCAGUGCCAGCAGGAGUGAAAUUUGCUGAUGCGAGUCAAGAGGUACAAGGCCCGGGUUUGUGUGCAGCCCAUUUUUUCAGAACCAUGAGGGAGCCUGGAGUGACUGGAGCCUUCCUUUGUCCUUCCCCCAGCUGUUAAACAUCAUUUUAAUGUUUAUAUGGUUAAAUAUGAUC